rnacentral:misc_RNA from 1 species
GUGAAUCAUCAAAUCUUUGAACGCAAAUUGCGCUUCCUGGCAUCCCGGGAAGUAUGCCUGUUUGAGGGUCAGUAUUAACAUAAAAAUCGGAUUGGUUGCAAAUUGUGACGUUUCCGGAGCCUGGGCUAUCUUAACUUUUUUGGUUAAGGCGCUUAAAAUUGACCUUUUUCGCGUAUUCUUAGAUGCACAUAAAUUUUUUUUUAUUCGUUUAUUUCUGA